CCUACGGGAGGCAGCAGUGAGGAAUAUUGGUCAAUGGACGAGAGUCUGAACCAGCCAAGUAGCGUGAAGGAUGACUGCCCUAUGGGUUGUAAACUUCUUUUAUAUGGGAAUAAAACGUUCCACGUGUGGGAUUUUGUAUGUACCAUAUGAAUAAGGAUCGGCUAACUCCGUGCCAGCAGCCGCGGUAAUACGGAGGAUCCGAGCGUUAUCCGGAUUUAUUGGGUUUAAAGGGAGCGUAGGUGGAUUGUUAAGUCAGUUGUGAAAGUUUGAGGCUCAACCGUAAAAUUGCAGUUGAAACUGGCAGUCUUGAGUACAGUAGAGGUAGGCGGAAUUCGUGGUGUAGCGGUGAAAUGCUUAGAUAUCACGAAGAACUCCGAUUGCGAAGGCAGUUCACUGGACUGCAACUGACACUGAGGCUCGAAAGUGUGGGUAUCAAACAGGAUUAGAUACCCGGGUAGUC
rnacentral:rRNA from 1 species